GCUGGGCAUGGUGGCUCAUGCCUGUAAUCCCAGCUAGUCAGGAGGCUGAGGCGGGAGAAUCACUUGAACCUGGGAGGCAGAGGUUGCAGUGAGCCGAGAUCGCGCCACUGCACUCCAUCCUGGGUGACAGAGUGAGACUCCGUCUCAA
rnacentral:SRP_RNA from 2 species